GCGCUAGUAGCUCAGUUGGAUAGAGUACCACACUACGAAUGUGGGGGUCAUGAGUUCGAAUCUUAUCUAGCGCGCCA
rnacentral:tRNA from 1 species